rnacentral:misc_RNA from 1 species
GCAAACUUGGUCAUUUAGAGGAAGUAAAAGUCGUAACAAGGUUUCCGUAGGUGAACCUGCGGAAGGAUCAUUGCCGAUAACACGGGCGCGCGCCUGUCUCUCCCCGGAGAGGAGGCCGCGCCUUCUAUCGCAUCCCCCACGUGCCCUUCUUCGCCGGGCGCUGCUGGCUGGCUGGCCCCCGUGGCCUGCCUGCCGCCGCCCCGGCGGGGUCGUGAACCCGGCCACUCGGCGCGCGCGCGUGCGCGUCGUUGGCCCAACCAAAAAAUACAACCUUUUUUGCCUUUCUUGCGUGUCUCCACAGACUGAAGAAGUCAAAAACAAAAACAAAAACUAUUCUUACAACUUUUAACAAUGGAUAUCUUGGCUCGCGCAUCGAUGAAGAACGCAGC